rnacentral:rRNA from 1 species
UACGAAGGGGGCUAGCGUUGCUCGGAAUCACUGGGCGUAAAGCGCACGUAGGCGGCUUACUAAGUCAGGGGUGGAAUCCUGGAGCUCAACUCCAGAACUGCCUUUGAUACUGGUAAGCUCGAGUCCGGGAGAGGUGAGUGGAACUGCGAGUGUAGAGGUGAAAUUCGUAGAUAUUCGCAAGAACACCAGUGGCGAAGGCGGCUCACUGGCCCGGUACUGACGCUGAGGUGCGAAAGCGUGGGGAGCGAACAGG